rnacentral:rRNA from 1 species
GACGAACGCUGGCGGCGUGCUUAACACAUGCAAGUCGAACGGAAAGGCCCUGCUUUUGUGGGGUGCUCGAGUGGCGAACGGGUGAGUAACACGUGAGUAACCUGCCCUUGACUUUGGGAUAACUUCAGGAAACUGGGGCUAAUACCGGAUAGGAGCUCCUGCUGCAUGGUGGGGGUUGGAAAGUUUCGGCGGUUGGGGAUGGACUCGCGGCUUAUCAGCUUGUUGGUGGGGUAGUGGCUUACCAAGGCUUUGACGGGUAGCCGGCCUGAGAGGGUGACCGGCCACAUUGGGACUGAGAUACGGCCCAGACUGCUACGGGAGGCAGCAGGGGGGAAUAUUGCACAGUGGGCGGAAGCCUGAUGCAGCAACGCCGCGUGCGGGAUGACGGCCUUCGGGUUGUAAACCGCUUUCGCCUGUGACGAAGCGUGAGUGACGGUAAUGGGUAAAGAAGCACCGGCUAACUACGUG